rnacentral:rRNA from 1 species
UACGUAGGGUGCGAGCGUUAAUCGGAUUUACUGGGCGUAAAGCGUGCGCAGGCGGCCCGUUAAGACAGGUGUGAAAUCCCUGGGCUCAACCUAGGAAUUGCGCUUGUGACUGGCGGGCUCGAGUACGGUAGAGGGGGGUGGAAUUCCUGGUGUAGCAGUGAAAUGCGUAGAGAUCAGGAGGAACACCAGUGGCGAAGGCGGCCCCCUGGGCCUGUACUGACGCUCAUGCACGAAAGCGUGGGGAGCAAACAGG